UACACGUCAGGAGCAAACGGAUACGCAAAAGCUCAAUUAUGUCCCCAAUAUUGCUAAUGUCGGGUGGACUGUAUACCGAGCUGACAGCAUCAGCUAUUUAAAAAAGGAAAGUAUUAUAUUUUUAGGUCAUGGUCUGGACCAGGAGGCAAGAUUUCACCCGAUAUUGUUUUGGAAACUCUUGAAGGGGCACAUAAAGAUAUCACAUUAUUGCUUUGCAUUUCAACACAGAAUUUCAGACAUAGUGUACAGGUAUCAAUAUGGCAGUCAUAUAGAUAAUUAAGGGAACCCCUACUUGAAAUUAGUGGUCAGAAUGUAACAAGCAUCCUCUGUACCGUAGUGUUGAUGGAAGCAGGUGAGACAUCAGCUCUUGUUGGAGGGUGAUGGGAGUUGUAAAACACCUUGAUACUGUGAGAUCACUGUCAGAAUUUGUUGACAAGUGUGUAAUAGAGGCCUAGAGGAAUGGGGUGGCCAGGAUGAAUAUUUUUCCUUCACACCCUUCACACAAAGAAUGUGCAAUGUAAUCUAGUAGCAGAAAAUCACCUGCCUUUUUGAGAUUCAAGACCACUUUGGUAUAGCUUAAAAGAGCUGACAAAUGUAAUUUUUAUCUAAAUAAGUUUCAAGCAACCGAGUCCACUGAGUUCAGACAUAUUGAGGGAAAAGUAUAGUUGAUUGGUGGGUUCAACUUUCACAUGACCACCUCUUAGCCACAAAAUGUGGGAUGUUGAUCUAGAGACACUAGACAUGGUCUAAAAAAGUGACAUUGUGUUGUAGCAUUGCAUAGUAGGUUCAGUCAGCCCCUACUAGUAUAUACAAAUACAGUUGAGAGAUAUAAUGACACCAAUGUAACCAGUGCAACAAAAUUCCUUAUAUAUAUAAAUAAAAUAGUAAACAGGGCACAAAGUUGGAUUAGUCUGGUAAACAUUUGUAGAAAUGUGAGGUUCUCAAAUUGGGGAAUAUAUAUUUUAAAAAAAUGCAUUUCUUUAAGUGAAUUGCUAUAAUUUAGCUUUCUGUGCAAAGAACAUUGUAAAUUCAAUCUAUGUGAGAUAAAAAGAAGCAACCUCUAGUAAUCAUCAAUCAAUCAUCAUGUAUCAGCUAUAUAUUAUAUUGUUGUAGAUUAAGGCUCAAAAUUUACAAAAGAACAACAUCUCUUACAGAAAUAUUGCACUAUUUUUCAGAAAGUAAUAAUAAUGUGCAACCCUAGGUAGACCAUAAUGUGUAAAAUCAAAUAAGUAUCUUCGAAUUAUCAUGGAGGAUGGCUAAGGCGACAUUUGGUAGUUUUUUUUGGGAAAUACAUCCUUCACAGUGAAAGGUAUCCUUAGUAGAAAUUGUGAAAAACAUAGUCAAACUGCCUUGAACAGAUUUAAACUCUUAUUUAUGUCAAGCUGUUAUUGUCAGCACUACGUGUUUUCAGAGUAAUGAAAUCUUGAUUUUAGACCGAACAAAAAUAGACAAUCAUAUAGAAAAAUGGAUGUCGCAAUUCUUAAAAGCAGACGUCCUUUAAUCAUGAACGAAGGGUAGGGUCAACGGUAAAGGACUUCGUGGAUGAAGCCCCAUGCGUUGAACUAAUCAAGUGAAAUUGUUUACCAGAACCCCACUUUACGAGUGUGGCUGUCAAGGCUUUAACAGACAAGGAUUCCACAUGACUACUACUACUCUGCCAAGAGUAACCGAUUAUGAUGAGGAUGAUGAUGAACCAAAACUUACAUCUUAAUAUAGUAUGAUCCAUGAAAGACCACUUCAUUGUGAUUGAAAUAUAGAUCCUGAUAUAGUUAUAUAAUGAUCUAAAAGAAAAAUGUUAUUAUUCGCUAAAAAUUGCUACUCGAAACAUAAUGUAAAAAGAAAAUAUUAAUAUAAUAUUAAUAUUAUCACAAAACAUUAUAAAAA